rnacentral:lncRNA from 1 species
GCAGGAAUAGACGCAAGGGCUGGAGCUGGGAGGGAUGGGGGGGGGGGGAGGGAGAAUCCCUCCAGCGGCCCAGCCCCGCCUCCCGAGAUGUGGGCAGGCCAUCCUCCUGCCCUAACACUUUCCACCACCUGCCUUCCGCCUUGCAGGGAGGCUACCACCGGCUCCGGGAAGCCCCUCCCGCAGACCUGCCGCUCCCCUGCCUCAGAAGGAGCUGCUCGACCGACAGAUACCAAGGUCGUCUUUGCGCCGGCGUGCGACCCAUUUAAUACGUUCCUGGAGCCUUCCGGUCACUUACAAUUCAAACAAAAGAAACACCAAAAGCUAGCUCGUGUGUCAUGGGCUCCUUUUCUCUGUCUCGGCACCAGAAGGUUCUAGAAACCGUUUGCAGACUCUCCUCAGGGACUCAGAAGGUCAGGGGGAGAGAAGGGUGGAGAGAAAUUGGGUUGCAUGUAUCGGUAGUGAGAGUGGAGAUCCUGAGGAAUAUAUCUGCUGCUUCUGCCGGUCUCUCUCCCUCAGUCAUCAAGCGCCGUCGCCGAGCACUUCUCAAACGGUCCCGUACGCACACGCACACACACAAACACACACGCCAGGAGAGUCUUGUUAACAAGCCCGUGGUCCUGCGUUUCCAGCAUGCUCACGGGACCCUAAUGCUGCUGAUCUGGAGACCUCGCUUUGAGCAGCGAGACUGCGGGUGGCGUUCUGAACCUGACGGUCCGUGGGCUAUUGUUCCGUAUAGGAUGCCGGGACGGCUGGGUAGCCAUCCAGAAAAAGUAACGUCAGACUUACACUCCCAAUUCCUGUACUAGGACGGAUACGAAGAAGUGUGAUCUGUGCUCGAGGUGGAAAUGCAAAAUGAUGAACAAUUGAAAGGACAACGGGCAAAGAAUAGAGACACUCAGUAACUUGACCAAACUCACAAGAAGCCGGUGCGUGAACCGGAAUGAGAAACCAUUAAUUUGCAAUGGGAAAUACUCCUUUGCGAUGACAGAACACGCAUGUCUGCCAUCCCAGGCACCUCGCUGCACAGAUCAAGAUGCCCGUGACGUUCCGUGAGGGAGCCCGGUGGGGCGCCUGGCUGGCUCCUUCAGAAGAGCAUGGGACUCUCGAUGAUCUCAGGGUCGUGAGUUCAGACCCCAUGUUGGGCAUGGAGCCUACUUUAAAUAAAUAAAUAAAUAAAUAAAUAAAUAAAUAAAUA